rnacentral:rRNA from 1 species
UGGGUCCUACGGGAGGCAGCAGUGGGGAGUAUUGCACAAUGGGGGGAACCCUGAUGCAGCGACGCCGCGUGAGCGAUGAAGUAUUUCGGUAUGUAAAGCUCUAUCAGCAGGGAAGAAAAUGACGGUACCUGACUAAGAAGCCCUGGCUAACUACGUGCCAGCAGCCGCGGUAAUACGUAGGGGACAAGCGUUAUCCGGAUUUACUGGGUGUAAAGGGAGCGUAGACGGUCCUGCAAGCCAGAUGUGAAAGCCCGGGGCUCAACCCCGGGACUGCAUUUGGAACUGUAAGGCUAGAGUGUCGGAGG